ACUCCUACGGGAGGCAGCAGUGAGGAAUAUUGGUCAAUGGACGCAAGUCUGAACCAGCCAUGUCGCGUGCAGGAAGACUGCCCUAUGGGUUGUAAAACUGCUUUUAUACGGGAAGAAAUAUAGCUACGUGUAGUUAUUUGCCGGUACCGUAUGAAUAAGCAUCGGCUAACUCCGUGCCAGCAGCCGCGGUAAUACGGAGGAUGCGAGCGUUAUCCGGAUUCAUUGGGUUUAAAGGGUGCGUAGGCGGAAGUAUAAGUCAGGGGUGAAAGUUUGUGGCUCAACCAUAAAAUUGCCUUUGAUACUGUAUUUCUUGAGUACAUUUGAGGUAGGCGGAAUGUGUUGUGUAGCGGUGAAAUGCUUAGAUAUAACACAGAACACCGAUUGCGAAGGCAGCUUACUAAACUGUAACUGACGCUGAUGCACGAAAGCGUGGGGAUCGAACAGGAUUAGAUACCCUGGUAGCACAGGAG
rnacentral:rRNA from 1 species